GAACGCUGGCGGCGUGCUUAACACAUGCAAGUCGAGCGGAAAGGCCCUUCGGGGUACUCGAGCGGCGAACGGGUGAGUAACACGUGAGUAACCUGCCCUCAACUUCGGGAUAAGCCUGGGAAACCGGGUCUAAUACCGGAUAUGACCUGUGGUGGCAUCACUUCGGGUGGAAAGUUUUUUCGGUUGGGGAUGGGCUCGCGGCCUAUCAGCUUGUUGGUGGGGUAGUGGCCUACCAAGGCGACGACGGGUAGCCGGCCUGAGAGGGCGACCGGCCACACUGGGACUGAGACACGGCCCAGACUCCUACGGGAGGCAGCAGUGGGGAAUAUUGCGCAAUGGGCGGAAGCCUGACGCAGCGACGCCGCGUGGGGGAUGACGGCCUUCGGGUUGUAAACCUCUUUCAGCAGGGACGAAGUUGACGUGUACCUGUAGAAGAAGCGCCGGCUAACUACGUGCCAGCAGCCGCGGUAAUACGUAGGGCGCGAGCGUUGUCCGGAAUUAUUGGGCGUAAAGAGCUCGUAGGUGGCUUG
rnacentral:rRNA from 1 species